rnacentral:ribozyme from 1 species
UGCUUAAUUCAUUUUAUUUAUCCAAGAGGUUCGAAUCUUAUCAAAACACACAAAUAUAAAAAAGACAAGUGACAUAACAGUUAAAACAAAAAAAUUUAAUUUGUUUAUUUUUUCUUAUGUUUUAUAACGCUUACCACACACAACAGGGAAAAAAAAAAGAAGAAAAAGAAUACUAUUUCUCACUCC